rnacentral:tRNA from 1 species
CGGGAUGUAGCUUAGCCCGGUUAAAGUGCACGUCUGGGGGGCGUGAGAUCGCUGGUUCGAAUCCAGUCAUCCCGACCA